UAAAUACAAGGCGAUGGAGCUCGCCACAACCGCCUUCUGAUUUUUACAUACUUAAUACUCGAUCAAAAGGCUAAUGGCUCCUACUUUUCC
rnacentral:ncRNA from 2 species